rnacentral:lncRNA from 1 species
AUAUGCUGUUAUCUGUAAUAACACAUCCUUUAUAAUGAGAAAACUGUGGAUAUAUCUUUAAAUUCAAGUAAGCCUUCAAUGUACUUCAUAUUACAAAGGAAACUGUUACCACAAAGGCCUUAGAAGAAAAAAGAGAGCAAAGAUUAAAAAAUGGCAGAACAACUUCUGGGGGCAAAAUAUCUUUUUGUGGUUUUGUUUUGUUGAUAGGGACCAUGACAGGAGGUAAGUGCCUAGUUCCUGCCUUUUUUCCCACUGCCUGCUUCCAACCAACACCAGGCUUGGGAGGGAAGGGGUGGAUGGACAGCUCAAGUACACUCAAGCUUAUUACUCCAUAAAUGCCUGAACAACAGGGAAUUGUGUGUGUGUUGAGCUUUUCCUUGUAAGGAAGACCUCUCCCAAUGCCCUUGCUGAUAAAGACAGCAACUGGAAAGUGUUCUCAGAAUAGUUAGACAACAGUAAUUCUGAAGUAAAGGCAUAUGAGGCCCCGAGAUUCUAGCACUGGUUCACUUGGAAAAAUUUGUUGUGGCCUUUGUCCCUUUAACUCACCUCUGUUAUGGGAUACAACUGAGUGUGUUAUUUGAGACACACAGCAGAAGAGGAAUGAGCAAAAUAAACCACUCUCAUCUCCUUUCCAACGUUUUCUCCCACAAAAUUCAUUUGAUCUGAAGAACACUGGUGCUAUUGCGACCCUGUAUUGCUAUCUGUCACAAAAAAUUGCUUUGCUAAACACUUAAAACUCCAAACUGACUGAGAUGGUAUUUUGG